AGUGAACGCUGGCGGUAGGCCUAACACAUGCAAGUCGAACGGCAGCACAGUAAGAGCUUGCUCUUACGGGUGGCGAGUGGCGGACGGGUGAGGAAUACAUCGGAAUCUACUUUUUCGUGGGGGAUAACGUAGGGAAACUUACGCUAAUACCGCAUACGACCUACGGGUGAAAGCAGGGGAUCUUCGGACCUUGCGCGAUUGAAUGAGCCGAUGUCGGAUUAGCUAGUUGGCGGGGUAAAGGCCCACCAAGGCGACGAUCCGUAGCUGGUCUGAGAGGAUGAUCAGCCACACUGGAACUGAGACACGGUCCAGACUCCUACGGGAGGCAGCAGUGGGGAAUAUUGGACAAUGGGCGCAAGCCUGAUCGAGCCAUGCCGCGUGGGUGAAGAAGGCCUUCGGGUUGUAAAGCCCUUUUGUUGGGAAAGAAAAGCAGCAGGUUAAUACCCCGCUGUUCUGACGGUACCCAAAGAAUAAGCACCGGCUAACUUCGUG
rnacentral:rRNA from 1 species